UCUGGCACCUUCGGUGUCCGAGUUGUAAUCUCUAGAAGUGUUUUCCGCGUUGGACCGCACACAAGUCUGUUGGAAUACAGCGGCAUAGUGGUGAUACCCCAUUACACGGUGCGGACGCCCAGCGCUUUGUGAUACACUUUCGACGAGUCGAGUUGUUUGGGAAUGCAGCUCAAAUUGGGUGGUAAAUUCCAUCUAAAGCUAAAUAUUGGCGAGAGACCGAUAGCGAACAAGUACCGUGAGGGAAAGAUGAAAAGCACUUUGGAAAGAGAGUUAAAAGUACGUGAAAUUGUUGGAAGGGAAACGCUUGAAGUCAGACUUGCUUGCCGGGCUUGCUCGGUUUGCAGGCCAGCAUCAGUUUUCUGGGACGGAUAAUGGCAGUUAGAAUGUAGCAGUCUCGGCUGUGUUAUAGCUUUCUGCUGGAUACGUCCUGGGGGACUGAGGAACGCAGCGUGCCGUAUGGCGAGGGCUUCGGUCCUUUCACGCUUAGGAUGCUGGUGGAAUGGCUUUAAACGACCC
rnacentral:rRNA from 1 species